rnacentral:rRNA from 1 species
UACGUAGGUGGCAAGCGUUGUCCGGAAUUAUUGGGCGUAAAGCGCGCGCAGGCGGCUUCUUAAGUCUGAUGUGAAAUCUCGGGGCUCAACCCCGAGCGGCCAUUGGAAACUGGGAGCUUGAGUACAGAAGAGGAGAGUCGAGUUCCACGUGUAGCGGUGAAAUGCGUAGAUAUGUGGAGGAACACUAGUGGCGAAGGCGACUCUCUGGUCUGUAACUGACGCUGAGGCGCGAAAUCGUGGGGAGCAAACAGG